rfam:Aedes albopictus isolate Foshan contig10303, whole genome shotgun sequence.
UGCCCAGCAACUCCUAUCCCUACCUCCACGCGGUACCGGCCGGGAACUAUGAGCAACCUUAGGGGCUGUCCAUAAACCACGUGGUCAUGGGGGGGGGGG